rnacentral:rRNA from 1 species
CGAAAGUGCCGGUAAUACUUGAUAACACCACGGGAUCGCAUGUUCCUGUGAUCAAAGAUGGGGAUCCUUCGGGACCUAUCGGCAACGGAUCGAUCCAUGUCCUAUCAGCUUGUUGGUAGGGUAACGGCCUACCAAGGCAACGACGGGUAACCGGCGUGAGAGCGCGACCGGUCACAUCGGGACUGAGACACUGCCCGGACACCUACGGGUGGCUGCAGCAACGAAUCUUCCGCAAUGGGCGAAAGCCUGACGGAGCGACGCCGCGUGAAGGAUGAAGUUCUUCGGAAUGUAAACUUCAAUAGUUUGUCAGAAAGCAAUCCGGGCUAAUACCCCGGUGCGUUGAUCAGCAAACGAAAGGGGUGGCUAACUCCGUGCCAGCAGCCGCGGUAACACGGAGACCCCUAGCGUUGUUCGGAAUUACUGGGCUUAAAGAGCGUGUAGGCGGAGCGGUAAGUACUUUGUGAAAGCCCCGGGCUCAACCCGGGAAUUGCUUGGUAUACUGCCGCUCUUGAGGCAGGUAGGGGUCACUGGAACCUUAGUGGAGCGGUGAAAUGCGUAGAUAUCUAAGGGAACGCCUGUGGCGAAAGCGGGUGACUGGGCCUGACCUGACGCUGAGACGCGAAAGCGUAGGGAGCGAACGGGAUUAGAUACCCCGGUAGUCUACGCCGUAAACGAUGCGCACUAGGUUCGAGAGAUUCUGACAUCAUUCGAGCCGAAACAAAAGCGAUAAGUGCGCCGCCUGGGGAGUACGGCCGCAAGGCUAAAACUCAAAGGAAUUGACGGGGGCUCACACAAGCGGUGGAGCAUGUGGAUCAAUUCGAAGCAACGCGAAGAACCCUACCUGGGUUUGACAUGCACGGAUGCCCUCUGUGAAAGUGGAGUAAGCUGCCUUCGGGUGAAACGUGCACAGGUGCUGCAUGGCUGUCGUCAGCUCGUGCUGUGAAGUGUCGGGUUAAGUCCCUUAACGAGCGAAACCCUUAUCGCUAGUUGCCAGCGGGUUAUGCCGGGAACUCUAGCGAGACUGCCGGCGUUAAGCCGGAGGAAGGUGGGGACGACGUCAAGUCAUCAUGGCCUUUAUGCCCAGGGUUUCACACGUGCUACAAUGGGGUGUACAGAGCGAAGCGAGACCGUGAGGUGGAGCAAAUCGCAGAAAACAUCCCUCAGUUCGGAUUGGGGUCUGCAAUUCGACCCCAUGAAGUUGGAAUCGCUAGUAAUCGCGUAUCAGCCAUGACGCGGUGAAUAUGUUCCUGAGCCUUGUACACACCGCCCGUCAAGUCAUGGGAAUUGGGAGUUCCCGAAGU